AGUGAACGCUGGCGGCAGGCCUAACACAUGCAAGUCGAGCGGCAGCGCGUCCGACCACCCUCGGGUGGUCGGAUGGCGGCGAGCGGCGGACGGGUGAGGAAUGCAUCGGAAUCUGCCUCGUUGUGGGGGAUAACGUAGGGAAACUUACGCUAAUACCGCAUACGACCUACGGGUGAAAGUGGGGGACCUUCGGGCCGUCACGCGAUGAGAUGAGCCGAUGCCGGAUUAGCUAGUUGGCGGGGUAAAGGCCCGACCAAGGCGACGAUCCGUAGCUGGUCUGAGAGGAUGAUCAGCCACACUGGAACUGAGACACGGGUCCAGACUCCUACGGGAGGGCAGCAGUGGGGGAAUAUUGGACAAUGGGGGCAACCCUGAUCCAGCCAUGCCGCGUGUGUGAAGAAGGCCUCGGUUGU
rnacentral:rRNA from 1 species